AAACCUUUGGAAGAAUUCCCAGGCAAGAUUCAGUCUUCAAAUGUCAGUUUUUCUAUUUCCUUUCAAUUAGGUUUUAAUCCUUUGAUCUAAAUUACCAUAAAUUAGGUUCUAUUCCACCGAGCUUCUUGACACCCAAAUUUGUAAUUCAAAUUGCAAAUGCACCACUUAAAAUCGAAUUAAAUUUCUCUUUGUUGUCAUAAACCUCAUAGCCAUCUUUUCGUUAAACCCUACACAAGUAGCUACUUCCGCAUCUUAGAUUCACAUUCGAAUUUUCACUCAUCUCCAUUUAAAGACAAGAAACUCAGAAAAGAACCCAAUUUCGUCGAUUGUAUAGUUCUUUAAAUGUAGUUGGUAGACAAAGAUCCAAGCAGGGCAGUUUCAAUGUUCUAGGCUGCUAUAAAUGAUGGGGACCAAGUUAAUAGUGCUCUGAAAGACAUGGCAGUUGUGAUGAAACAGUUUGAUCAGAUAAGGCAAUUGAGGCGAUCAAAUCUUUUUGUCAUCUCUGCCCUUAUGAUUCUCAGGAAUCUCUUGACAAUGUUCUUAUCAAACUUUACAAAAGGUCUGGAAAAUUGCAGAAGUGUAGAAAUGCUACGGUGCAAAUUGAAAAAGAUAGGAGAAGGUAUAGCUUUUGGAUAUGAUGAAGGG